UGGUUUUAAACAAGUUGUUUUAUUGCCGAUGAUUUUAUUUGGUGUUGUUUGAUUGUGGUGAUUGAUUGGUGUGAUUGUUUGCAACGUGUAGAUUGUGCGGAGUGCGACGCAAACUAUUGUCAGGAGUGUGACCUUCUGAAUCAGAAUCAAGGCAAGUUACAUGUUGAUCAUCCUUUACCUAUUAUUUUUCUAUGCAUGUAGUAUUAUACCGUCCUAUGAAAAUUAUGCAUGUAUAGGAAUAUUAUUAUUGCUAUGCUAUUGAGCUAUAUCCCCUCGUCGUUGAAGAUCGUGGUAUUUGUAGUUUUGCUAUGCUAUGUAGACGGGGAUUGGUUUCUGUAUUCAUUGAGUUUAUGUGAGGAUUACUACAAAAUAAAUUUAGUAGUAAUUCAGGAUAUAAUACACCUCUGGGCGGAUAUGGUAUUGCUGGGUGGUUUCAAGAACAUCAUGGUUUCUACCCUCUGAAUGUAAGUGGAAUGCCGCUCAGGUUCAAAAAGAUCAAACAGACUUAGUGACUAGUAGCUUCCUUGUGCGACCACUGGCCAUUAUGGG
rnacentral:lncRNA from 1 species